rnacentral:rRNA from 1 species
AUUGAACGCUGGCGGCAGGCCUAACACAUGCAAGUCGAACGAGUGGCGGACGGGUGAGUAAUGUCUGGGAAACUGCCAGAUGGAGGGGGAUAACUACUGGAAACGGUAGCUAAUACCGCAUACCAUCUGAAGUGCCCAUAUGGGAUUAGCUUGUUGGUGGGGUAACGGCUCACCAAGGCGACGAUCCCUAGCUGGUCUGAGAGGAUGACCAGCCACACGGGGACUGAGCCACGGGCAAGACUCCUACGGGAGGCAGCAGUGGGGAAGAUUGCACAAUGGGCGCAAGCCAGAUGCAGCCAUGCCGCGUGUAUGAAGAAGGCCUUCGGGUUGUAAAGUACUUUCAGUGGGGAGGCGUUACCCGCAGAAGAAGCACCGGAUAACUCCGUGCCAGCAGCCGCGGUAAUUC